AAGAAAAAAAAAAAGGGUCUGAUGCCUUUUUUACUUUAUUGUAAAUGUGAUGAAUUAUUUUUGAGAUGGAUUUCAUACUCUUGUCUACUUGUUGUGUUGUUAUGCCAUUGCCUAUCGCAUCCAAUGCAAAAGUAAACCAUAAAAGCAAAUGCAUGGUCCAAUAGUAAUUAGUUCUAUGAGAAGAUAUGAUGCCAUCGUAUUUUUUGUGUUAGCAAAUUUUUAUUGUUUUUUUAUUACUGCUGGCAUACUGCCUAUUCCUUUGACAAACUGCUGAUUUUGAUUUUUCUGUUUCAGACAGAAGCCUCUGCUUCCUAAUUUUGAUUCUGCAGAAACUCGUGCUUUAGCUGAGAGCUUAUGUAGGUAUGGUUGACUGUUACAGUUAAUGCUUUCAUAUAUGUCUGAAUAGUGAAGAUUCUGCAUUUUAACUUAUUCUUUCAUGGCUUUGUAGUAAUCAUAUUGUUUAAUAUUUUACCCUGUACAGGGAUAUAAUUCGUGGAAGUCCGGAUGUUAAGUGGGAAAGCAUCAAGGGGCUAGAGAAUGCCAAACGUUUACUUAAAGAAGCAGUUGUCAUGCCAAUAAAAUAUCCCAAGUAGGUCUUGCCCCGCCUCAUGGCCCUAGCUAUCUCUAUGCAAAUUUAUAGCAAACCUUUUACUCGUUUUACUUCACUCAAGAUGUGGCAUAGAACGUUAAGGCACAUGACAGAACACCAACCUCAGGGCUCUAUAAUGAAUCGGUACUUGUUGGAACAUUUAGAAAUUGUGUUCCAUGGAGCUUUCUAGCUUUUAAUUUGAUAUGUUAAUUGAGUCCACAAUCUCAUAAGAAAUUGCUGUUAUGUGCUUAUACUUAUCUUGUUCCUUCUUCUAGGUACUUUACUGGACUUCUAUCACCAUGGAAGGGUAUUCUUCUUUUUGGCCCACCAGGAACAGGAAAGGUUUGUGCACACACUAUCUAUUGUUAUUUUAGUCAUUUUACUUUUUUCUGUUUCAUUUUUUUUUCCAAAUCAUCUUUAAACUCCUCUUCGUUUUUUUGGUCUUUCCUUUUCGUUAGUUAUCUUGGAUGGAGCUUCUUUGCACUGUGUUGCUUUACUUAUCCACAUGAAACUGAUUUCUGACCUGAAUAAUCCUUUUGCACUUUCCUCUUCUUGUUUUUAAACCUGAUUUUAUUCAAGGAUGUUUGUAAGGUGAUUGAAAGUACUGGCUUUCUUUCUGGCUCUGUCUUUUUCUUUCUGCUUGAUAUUAUUUAAAUUAAUCACCAUUUUGAUGUCCAGACAAUGCUUGCUAAGGCUGUUGCUACAGAGUGCAAGACCACAUUUUUCAAUAUUUCAGCGUCUUCUGUUGUCAGCAAAUGGCGUGGUAAGUCACGGUUAAGCAGUUUUUUGUUAAGUUCCUAGUUUAUUUUAUCUGGAUGUUUGAGUAUGUUUAGUUACAUAGAGUAUGUACCUACUUCUUUCAAACAGUUUGGUACCUCGGUCAUAAUGAAAGCUAUAUCUACUUAUGGAGCACAUUGCAGGUGAUUCGGAAAAGUUGAUUAAGGUAUUGUUUGAGCUCGCAAGGCACCAUGCACCCUCGACUAUAUUUCUGGAUGAAAUUGAUGCAAUAAUCAGUCAACGUGGUGAAGCACGCAGUGAGCAUGAAGCAAGCAGACGUUUGAAAACUGAACUCCUAAUACAGGUAUUUUUUUCCUUUCUUGUGUGUAAUAGAUCUUUGUGCACAAUUUUGCAUUGUCAACUGCAACAAUUUAAAAGCAAUGGAUCAGAUAACCUGGUGUUGUUGUACUGACGUGGAAUUGUCUGCACUUCAAAGUUCUGUUUAAAAAUAAAAAUACAGUAGAUUUCAACUUCUAUUUUCUCAAAAAUUAUUGACUUCGAUAAGAUUGCAGAUGGAUGGUUUGACACAGUCAGAUGAACUUGUAUUUGUUUUAGCUGCAACAAAUCUCCCUUGGGAACUAGAUGCAGCCAUGCUUCGGCGUCUUGAGAAGCGGGUAUCCUUUUCAUUGAUCGCUUUAACGUGAAUUUUUGCUCAGACAAAAUAGGAUGAAUUGGUACUGGAUUUAACAAAUGAAGGUAAAGGAUCGGGUCUUAAUUUUCUGGGUUUCUGAAUGUCAAGAGAAAGGACUAUGGCAUUUAACAUGCACCAAGACUGCUAGUCCUAACUGAAUUUGUUCUGUAAAUAUCCUUGCUGAUCAAAUAUGAAUUUUUGGCUAGUGUGAUAAAGCUUUAGUUUGCUAAUGUGUAGUUUUUUCUGGUGCUAUAUUUGGUAAAGGCUUGCAGUGCUGUCCAUAUGAUUGUUGAUUUUUUGGAUGAGUACUAUUUUUCCUGUGGGAGAGCUGUGAAUUGAUUAGGUUGAUCUCAAAUAAUCAUUAUAUAUUUGGCUGAAUCCUUAUACUUAGCUACCAUGUGAAUAUUGGGUGGUAGUAUCCCUAACCUUUUCGUUCUCAGUUCUUACAUCAUUCUUCUACUUAAUUCAGUACUUCAUCUUGAUUUCAGUUUUUUGAUUAAUCAGCACAUUUUGCGUAGAUAUUAUAUGUUAUAAAAUUGUUCUCCUUUGACCAUGAUCAAUAAGAUCCUUGUACCUCUUCCGGAUACCGAAGCAAGGAGAGCCAUGUUUGAAUCGCUUCUGCCUUCACAAACUGGUGAAGAGAGCCUUCCUUAUGAUUUAUUGGUGGAAAGGACUGAAGGCUAUUCAGGUUCAGAUAUUCGGUUAGUCAGCAAAGAGGCAGCUAUGCAGCCACUGAGACGAUUAAUGGUUCUCCUUGAAGGCAGACAGGAAGUGGCACCUGAGGAUGGUAUGACUUUUCAAACUGUAUUCCUUGUACUUACAUCAUCAAUCGGCCUAGUAUCAUAGUUGGAACGUUGGAACUUUGAGUUAAACGAUUCUCACAAGAUUUUUUGCCCCUUUUUCCUCCAAAAGGGAACAUAAAGAAAAUAGGCACUUUCUGAUUAAACAAAUUAAGUGAGACUUCUCCAAUACUUGACCAUCAUAUCCCCACCCCCUCCCCCCUUCUAAUUUUCACUUUCUUAUCUUUCCAUAUAAUAUAUUUUUUAAAGGAACCUUUUCAUAUGAUUUUCAGUUCGGGACAAAAACUACUUUUUUGUAAAAAUCACUUUGCAAAGUGUUGAUCACAUCACCUUUCUUUUUUUGCUUUUUCCUGUCAUUGUUUCUCUCUCACUUGACAUCCCCUCUUGCAUCAUCAUCCUUAGCUUUUAAAGUCAACUCUGCAAAUUAUAGAACUGAAGGAUUACUCUCUUGUUUGCAGAGUUACCACAGAUUGGGCCAAUAAGACCAGAAGAUGUAGAGAUAGCUUUGAAGAACACUAGGCCAUCGGCUCAUCUCCAUGCCCACCGAUAUGAGAAGUUUAAUGCUGAUUAUGGUAGCGAAAUACUCCAAUAAAGGUACCCAAUCAGGAAUGAUCUUCUAAUGGUUAAAUAAAACCUUUCAUAAGUUGGGAAAAGGACAUCAUUCUUCUAUCUUUAGUAGGCUGGAAGUAAUGCGUUCAAUGAUUCUUUUCUUCUUUGUCUUUAAUACUGUGUGUCACAAUAUCAUUAUUUUUAGUGGUUAUUUCAUAUCACAACAUGGGCAUCUUUAUCUUGAGGCUGUUGCGAUCGAUGCGUUAUUACUUUAACCGCUUCCACACCGCCGGUGCCAUGCCAUAUUUUCCAGGGAUUAUCACAGAGGGUAAAGGCUGAAUAAGCUCUAGGAUCACCGUUUUACACCCUCUUGUAUUGUUGUUUAUGGUAAACUGGUAAAUUACAAAUUUUGAAAUAUUGGUGCGAUAUUGAUUUGAACUGCAUGAAAUGAUUUUUUUUUUAAAUUUUUUAAUUAAAAAGCAUAUCACGUUUGUAUUAUUUUUCCGUUGACAGAAUAAGCCCUAAAAAUAGUAUGUGCAGCUACUGCUAUUGCUUAAUCCCAGAAAAAAAAAAAAAAAUUUGUUCAUGCUUUAGUUUAAGACUUAAUAUUUCACUUAAAGAAAGAAAAUAAAUUUAUGAAUAUUAAAAUGUUAAAUUUUCUAAUUGAGACUUAAUAAAAUGUUACAUUUUAUCUUUAUUUUAUUUAAUGAAUAAGAAUUAAAAUCAUUACGAUUCGACAACUUCAAUUGACCUACCCAUUUAAUAAAUAUAGCAAAAACAAAAAACUACUUUAAAAUCAAGAUAUUCAGAAAAUUAAAAUUGAGGACGGGUAAUUGCGGAAGCUCAUGCAUAAGUCGUAUUCAUAAAAACAGAAAAUACGUAAUUUCAACUAAAUUGUGUUAAUUAAAUAACUGAAAUCCAAUAACAACCCCAGCACAAGCUGCUUACAGCAUGAUCAGGAAAUGACAUCCCCAAAUGGCAGAUACUUGUGACCGCAAGUUCGCAACACAAAAUGCAUGAAAAUGACAGUAACGGUAACUUCAGACAAAGGGAAGACCAUACACAGAACAUCACCAUCUUUGGGGAGUAUCUGACUACAUCUUUAGUUUAUUUAGGGAUAUCCCUUCAGAGGAUCAGCUGUUUUACCAGAUCUAGCAUCUGUCCAAGCUUUUGCAAUUGUUCGCUUCAUUUCGUCGUCACCUUCCUCGUACAUAUUCUGCAAAUUUGCAACAAAAAGAAAAAAAUGUAAGCAUUUAGACAUAAUCACAGCCAUAGAAAACACAUUCUGUUUGUGCAAGUGCCUUCACGUGAGGGUGCAGCAUGAACAGAAGGCAGCUCACCUUCAUCAAAUCCAUAAUUCCAGCCAUAGGAUCUCGUUCUUUAUCCAGAUUUGGCUUCAGCUGGAAAACAGUUGGAGAAACAGAUACAAGUUAGACUGUGUUAUCUUAUGAAAGUAUGGCACCAAAUAUCAAAUAUUCCCAUUGUAUGUGAUUACCUUAUCCUCUUUGUACUGUAAGUCUAACCAAUUUCCCUUUGAAGCUUUAAAGAGCAUGAUGACAACCCUUGUGGGUUUAACCAGCACCUUGCUUUUCUCAGGAACAAUCUCCUGGUUCAACCUUGGGAUAGUAAACCGGUAAUUCUUCCCUUGGACAUCAUGGAAUUUGACAUCAAAGGACCACUGCUUGAACUCUGCUUCCAUUUUAUCCUGGACUACUCCCUCUAAAGAAAUAUAUAUCUGCAAAUGGAGAUUAUGUAGUUUCAGGACAUGCAAAUCAUCACAAAAGUAAUGUACUCCAUGCUAAUCAAGUAGCUUUCUCUGAGAUUACAACCUGGAAUCAAAUUACAAUCAUACCUUGACUUUUUCAUUAUCCUGAUCCCAGCUGAAUGAUCCAAGCGUAAUAUAGUUGAGUGCUGGAGUAGAAGAGACCUUAGCUGGUGUUGGAACCGGAGCUGGACCUUCCACUUUUGACAACUGCAGAAUUGAAGUCAAAGAAUAUUUUAUUAAAGGCAAUACAGAAGCAACCAAAGGUACAUUUAGAAAAUCAAUCAGCCUAGGUUUUGACAGCAUGACACGUUUACACACAAAAUAUAAAAGUCAACAAGUCAACAGUCUACCAUACUACUGGGAAAGUUAUUCUCAAUCAUGAAACCAACUGCUUCAACACGAUUCAAAAUUUUCAUUUAUCAGCACCGCCAGUCUUUUAAAAUCCGGAUCACAAGUGUCAUCAGACUGGGGUAGCACCAGAGCUUCAUUUUGCCACAGCCUCAGCCUCAGCCUUUUCCUUUAAUCAGUAAAUCAUUAAACGAACAAUGGUGGUAUGGUAUCCAAAAGCUACAAGUAAGGAUUUCCAUCAUAUUAAUUCAUAAAUCCUAAAACAUGAUGCGUACCAAACACAAAAUGAUAACAAACAAUGUUAAAUGAUUCAUUUAAUAUUCUGCUACAAUUAAUCAUAAAUCAUUUUAAUAGAAUUUCCUUAUUCUUUCUAUUCAAUGAAACAUGCCAAACAGGGCGACAAGUGAAAACAUCACACACACACACAUCUCGUUAGGAAAUUCAUACUCCAAAAGCAGAAAUGAAAAACAGUAUCCAUUUACAUUUUUUUUUGGGGGGGGGGGGGGGGGGAAGAGAGAGCAAGAAAGAAAGAAAGAAAGAAAAGAAAAGCAAAAAAAAUCAAAAAUGGAAAACCAACCUUCUCCAAGGUAUGAAUCUCAGAGUUAAUAAGAGAGACGAUACGAGGUCGUUUUGCGAUGCUCCGUAGUUGUCUUAGCUCUUCCAAAUCCAGCACCAAAUCCUCCGCCAUUUCUGCCUUCUGAGUGACGAGAGCGUAGUAGAUGAAGACCGAAGGACAACAAUUACAAGCGGCUUUAAUUCUUAAAUAAGUACACUCGUUGCUUUUUGUACGUGGAAUAUGCUUGAAGCCUAUAGAGCUCGGCUCGUCUGAUAGGGAAAUUUGGAGGGGCAAAGCUAAGGCAAAAUGAUGACCAUCUGUGCUUCAAACAACUUUUAAUUAUUAUUUUCUUUUAGGGUUUUCGUUUUGAGAGAACGUUCUAGACUUCCAGAAAAUUGAACACGUGGAAAAUUUUUGUAUUCCAUGAACAGGGAUAAGAUAAAAAGCCUCUAAAUAAAAAAAUAAAAACGUUUUAUUUACAUUUAUUAUUAAUUUCUUUUAAAAAAUAAUAAUAAUAAAAUCUUUCCUAACUUUUCAGGUAAAACACUUCUUAUCACUUAUCAUUAGAAGAACGAAGCAUUUCCAUUGAGAUUUGAAAAUCCGUCAAAUUCCAAAGUUCAAAAUUUCCAUCAUAAAAAGUAAAAAAACACAAAGCAAAACUAAUCGCAGUAGAAGCAAUACAAUCCCACAACAGUACAUGGGUCUCCGUACCGUACAAUUAGGCUUUAAUUAUGACACAUGGGUUGAGAUUGCUGAUCGAUUCCUUAGCUUUGGCCUUUGAGUGAACUGGGACAGUCUUGAUUUUGUGCGUUUAAUAAAUUCUGGAGCUGCAUUUGCAACUGUGCUCUUAGCUGGUACUUAGAAGCCAAGUUUCUGUGCACGUUGUCUUUGGUAGCCAGAAGUUGAGACUUUCUCAUCUCAGCUGCAACUAUUUCAGGAUUGCUCAAAUGUCCAUUGUUGCCUUGAAGUUUCUUGAAGGUAGAAUUAAGCUAAACAAAAAAAGAUUAAAUUGAUUUAUAUCAAAUGCAUCAUUAUUCCAUCCCAUUCCCAGCUAAUCAAAUAAUUAAUUCAGCAGCUAGUCAUCUGAUAGAAUUAGAAUAAUCCCCUCAAAGUUCAGUUGCAUGAUUUUACAAGUCCAGGACUAGGAGGAGAUACAGAGAUUGGGUUGGAGCUCUAAUUUAUUAAUUAUUAUAACAAUUGAGAAUCAAACUGCAGCUCAAGUAGUAUUAGUCCCUUUUCAUAUACAUAGUAUGAUGAUAUAUUGAUGAAAGUGAAAGAAAUAAUGCAUUCACAUACAUAUAUUAUUAUUAUUAUUAUUAUUAUUAUUAUUAUAUAUAUAUAUGUGUGUGUGUGUGUGUAGAGAAGUAAAUAAAUGAAUAUAUACAUUACAGAGGUGUAUACAUAGUGAUUACAGCAUAAUCUUUUUACCUUAGAGAAUUGGUCUCUCAACUCUUCAAUUCGCAACUGACAUUCCUCGACAAAAUUCUCCACAUUUUCACGAAACUCCUUCAUUUCAUUACCUUUUAACACGUAAUACCUCUCCUUCUCUUUCUCCGUUUCCUCCACCUCCUCUAUCUCACUCUUCAAUUUCCUAAAAUUUCCAUCCCAAAUUCAAUUACACUAAAUAUUUUAUUUCAACAAUCCCCCUCAACCUUUGAAAUAUAUAUAUAUAUAUAUAUAUAUAUAUAUAAUUCGCAAAAAACUGUACCUCAGUUUUUGCGAAUGUGCUUGAUACUUGGAAUCGAGGAUCUCGAUCUCGGAUUUGAGAGUGGCAAUUUUGAAAUUCUGAGACGCAAUUUUUUGAUCGAGUAACAAACACCUUCGUUCCGUCAACCUUACACUCUCGAGCUUCGAUUCUAAAAUUUGAGACUUUUUCCCUUGCACUUCUUUCUCUGCCUGUGCGAACACACAAUAAUACUGUACCGUGUUAGUUUCUUUUCUAUUUUUCUUAAAAUAUAUUUUCUCAGUAACCGAACAGAAAUGUAAUGAAGCCCAGGGUUAGGGCUUGUGGUGAAGAUGACCUGGAGGAUUGAGAGGCGUUGGUUUCUCGUUUGUUCCAUUUGCUCUAGCCUUUCUCGAAAGGCAGAAGAGAGCGCCAUUGCCGUGCUGCCUCGAAUCGGUGAGCUGCGCUCUUCCGUGCCGUGUGAAUUCGGUUUGAAUCUUGCGGUUUAUAUACAACUGAGAUUGAACCCGGCCCAAUACUAACUCUCUCCAUCAGGGGGCCCAUGGGCUUCAUGCAUUUGUAACUUUAUUCAGACCCCACUUUUGCUCUUAUCAAGCCCGGCUACAUACUUGCCUACAUACUUGUACUAGGGUGGAGGUACUUACACCCACUAAACUAUUCAAUAAAGAGUGAUGAUACAGUCACAAAUUCUUGUAUAAACUGACGUGGCAUUAAUUUAUUGGUUGAAUGAAAAUAUAAAAUAAUAAAAACAAAUCAUGUGGGCCAAGUGAUAUUUAAUUCAAUCAAUCAUAUCAUACCACAUCAGUUUGUACAAAAUAAGUUUGUACAAGAGUUUGUGGCUAUAUCAUUACUCUUUAAUAAAACCAUCUUUGGAAAUAAAUUUUAACUACUAAAAUAUCCUAAAUCAAAUUAUAAUUAUGGACACUAAAGUAUAGAAAAAAAAAAAGAAAUUUUACUAAUUAAAUUUAUAAAAUUGCAUAAUUGCUUUCUUCUAUAGAUAAAAAAUCUCAAUGAGAAAAAACAUUAAUUUCAUACAAAUUAGUAAUGGUGAAUUCUAUAGGUAAGUAUAACAAUUGUUUGUUUAAGAAACAGAAAGGUUGCUAGAAAAUAUAUAUAUAGACAACAUGCCUCCUUUGCAGUCCAUGUCAAUGCCAAGUCUGUCUCACUAAAUUUUAAAUAUGUUUCGAAAGCCAUAACUUGAGUUACAUAUGUCCGUUUUAGGCGUAUAAUAUAUCAUUUCGAAACUUACGACGAAACAAAUCAAAUCCAAAAUCAUAUACUUCAUAAAAUCCUUGGGUUUAUGUGCGACAGGCAGUGGGACAGAUGCAUGUCUCACAUAAAUGCAGUGCGUUUAUGUGAGACAUGCACAUGUCCCGCUUGCUUGUCUGACUAGGGAUGGCAAUGGGCACCGCCCGCAGCGGGUUUGCAUCACCAAACCCAAACCCGCACAAAAUUUAAAUUACCAAACCCACCCGCAACCCGCAGCGGGUUUUAAUUUUUUUUUAAAAACCCACCCGCAGCGGGUUUUAACAAUUACCAAACCCGCAAUGGUACGCGGCUUUUUUGCGGGAUUCCGUAUUUAAAAUCACAAAUGUUUAAUAUAUAAAUUUAUAAUAAUAACCUCAAAUUCCAUAUAACAUACUCAAUUUUGUAUUUAAACAAUGUAAAUGAAAAAUUAAAAUUUCAAUAUCAAUCCAACACAAAUUCUCAAAUUUAAGUAUAAAUUACACAAAUCCAUUUAAAAAACACAAACUAGUAUCUAAAAAUAAUAAUUACAUUUCAUAUUAUCAUUUAAAACAAGCUCCGAGAGAAGAUAUCCAUUUCAUUCACCACCAUAAGCACCCAUCCAACACAAUGCCUAUAAUAAUAAUUAAGAUUAAUAUUUUUAAAUACUAAUUCGAAGGGAAAUGACUUUAGUUUUCUUUAGUUUAUGACUUUAGAAUGGGAGAUGGGCCACAUACACACAUACACAACUUUGAACCUUUGGCUAUUUGGUAAUUUGAAUAAUGACAUUAUUUUUUUUAUACAUUUUUAGAUUAAAAUUAAAUUAAAAAUAUUUGAAAAAAAUAUUGUGGGUUUGGUGGAUAUCCAUGCGGGUAUCCACUGGAUAUAAGGCUAAUAUCAAACCCACCCGCAUCCAUGUGCGGGUUUUAAUUUAUAAUACUAAAGCAGUCCGCAACGGAUAAAAUUACCCGCAGCGGGCGGGUUUUGGCGGGUGGGUUUGGGCGGGUUUGCGGGUUUGCGGGUAUAAUUGUCAUCCCUCACUUGUUCUGAACUUCAUUUUUUGCCCGAUUUUUAUGUGUUUUCAAUGAUUUUUCUUCAUUUCUCAACUCAAACUAAGUACUUUAAUAAAUCACAUUAUUUUAUGAAUGAAAAAUAACAACAUUUGCAACAAAACCCACUUUAAUUUCGAACUUAGUUGAUAAAAUCAAUAGAUUAAAGGUUUACAUUGUGUAAGAGUAUAAACUAAUUUUAAGAAGCUCUCCCAUUGAUGAUUAUAUCUUCAAUUAUGCAAUUGAUUUAUCGAGAGUGAUGAAGUUUGUUGAGAGUAAUGAAGUUUGUUGAGAGUAAUGAAGGUUUGUUAAGUUAUUGAGGAAGAUCCGUAUUUAGUUGUACUUGAAUUGAAAAAGUGGCAUGCCUUUGUAAAUUUGAUGAAAGUGAUGAGGGUAAUUUAGUCUAAAAAUAUGGUGUUUGACUAAUUAUGAUAGAAAAAACUUUAAGAGAUUAAAAUUGAAAAACGUAAAAAUUUUAUAGCCAUUUUUAUAAAUUUCCCAAAGAAUAAUGAUGGCGUGUGAGAAAGCUUUACAAUUUUUUUUUUUAAUGUUUCUAUUCUCAAAGCUUCUAGGAUUCACAACAUUAUAGGCUAGUGAAUUGUCAUGGUUGUUAGCCUAUAAAUGCGGGCCCCUUUUUUUUUUUAUGUUUCCUUAUCGUUUAAGAUCUUCUUGGUUCGCUUAAUUGCAACUGAUCAGCACGCCAGAUCCCAAAAUAGCUUUUAAAAUAUCAGUACUCUGAAUCCUUCUCAUGACGAUGCUUUCAACUUUUAAUUACCUGUUGCAAAAUUAACUUACAAGAGAAGGGAUUAUAAAAAAUCAAGACUGGAUCGCAUAAUUUGAGAUUGUAAUUGUAGCUGGGUGCCAUAAUUAAGCCACACAUUUCAAAGUGUAGUCAUAAUCUUCUGAAAUCGAGCCUCCGUACCAAGGAUUCUCAAACUAUAUAUAUAUAUAUAAUUAUAUAUUGUCACGAUGACUAAUCGCUGUCACUUUUUAUUUUUUAAAGAAUUCUGUUGUAGCAACCUAUGAUUAGUCCAAUGAUAUAUUUUCAAGAUUGAGGAUAAUGCACGGAAAGAUCGCAAAAGAUUAUUAAUCCUUUCACAUCAGUGACCUGUGAACCAAGAAAAAAAUAAAAGAAGCGUUUGUGAUAUAUUUGUUAAUUUAAAUUUCUUUCUUUCCUUCUGGGAAUUUGCUUGCUCCUGCCUGAGUUGUAAUCCUAAUUCUUAUGUCAACACCCAAGGCCAAAAGUUUGACGGAUACAAACAUAUAUGUAUAAAUAAUAAUAUCUGUUUUGUUUCACAUGUAAGUGUAUUAAUCUCAAAGAGAUUUGGAAUUGGAAAAAUAUAUUCCCCAUAAUUGUAGUGCUGUCGAUCUUGAACGUUGAAUGUCAUAGUGAUGAUACGACACUUUGAUUAUUCAAUCUAGUCACAUUUAUUAUUAGUCAUAAAAGAAAAAUGUGGAUUCGUCAAAAAAAGUUGAUUCGAUUAGUUCCAUGAGAGAUGAAUGUAUUGCUGCCAAAACAUAUCUAAAGAAAAAGGGUUUCUAAUUUCUUCGAUUAGCAGCAUACACAUGCUGAAUUACGUGUCGAUGGGACCUCUCUAUGAUGAAUCCCACUAAAACAUGUCAUCAAUUAACCCAAAAAGGAAAAAGAGAGAGAGAGAGGGACGGGGACAAAACGCCGAGUACAAGAACCUCCAUUAAUUUCAGACAAAAGUUUCUAUGUAGAAUGUUCUCAGUCUUAGCUUGUUCUUUCACUAAAAUCAUAUCGUAUAUGCAUUAUUUUCUUUUGAUUAAUCUUGAACACGCUAACGCUAUUCGGAAAUGAGCAGAUUAAUUAAAGACUUUGUUUUGAGUAGAAGUUCAAAGAUCUCAAUUUACACAAUGAUCCCCUAAUUCUUAGUGGGGUAUCAAAAACUUUUUUUUUUUAAUUUAUUGGGUAAAUUUGUGACCACAAAUUAAAAAAAAAAAAAAAACUGAUGGUGCGAUCCUUGAAAUAUCGAAAUGUUGGGCUGCAUGUGCUCCACGUUGGCUGAUCCGAAAUCGGUAGAUCAUUUAUUAAUUAUCACCAUCAGGUUUUUGUAAGGCUGAGCGUAAAUUGUCUCUCCCCAUUUCUGGAAAAUAGAGAGAGAAAGAAAAGAGAAAACAAAUCAAAAGCUCCUUUGCCAUAAAGGAGAAGAACUGGCAAUCAAUGACCAAAUGCAAAUGCUGACGGUUUAUUUUGCCAGGGAAUAAAGCUACCUUAGGCCGCCCAAAUUUCGUGCUUAGGAUAGAAAAAGAACCAAACAAAGCCUUACCUUUUGCACUUUAAUUACAUUAUCAUCAUUAUCUCCAAUUAGUUAUAUAUUUAUUUAUUUUUAUUUUUAUUUUUAUUAUUAUUAUGAAGAGAGAAAAAGGAAAGGUGAGAAAUAAACGUUCUAUAUUAUAACAACAGUUAUGGAUUCCACGUCCAAAAGUAGAGGACUUUCUUUGCAACCAAUAAGAAAUUAAGAAUAUGGUAGCCUUGCACUACUCUAUACUCUUCAAGAAAUAUAACUGUUUACAUUGCAUACUUAUAUAUCCUAAAACGAUAGAGUAAUAAUUGAAAAAACAAUGCUUUAACAAAUUACAAUAUCGAUCUAGCAUAAUAAUUACGGAUGGAAGUGCUUCUCCAAGAAAAAAUUAAGCUAAUUUUUUUCCAUUCCAAUGCCGGGAUUUGAGAAGAGUGGAGAUGAAUUUGUGACAAAUUGGUCAUGAUGGUUAGGGCAAUAUGCUUGGAGAAGGCUCAUGAGUACGAAACAAUCACCACCAACUUGGAGAUCCAGAGUGCUUUGGUAGUUGUUAAUUUCUUGUACAAAUUGGCAAAAUGGGUAUACCUUUGGUCUUUUUAAUUGGUGUUUAUUUGUCAAGUGCGUUCCAAAAUACCCAAAAGUAAAACCCCAAAUUGCCUUGCCAAAAAAGUAUUAUUUACAUGCACUCCAUUUGCUUAUAUGCUCUUCACAUAAAAGCUCGAAAGGUCAGCAAAAACACUAACAUCCAGUUCACCAAGCUUUGAUUUUCCUUGUUUGCUGCCUGUUUCACGAUAAACGUAAUCCCAUUUAAAGAGAAAAAUAAUUAGACUAAUUAUCAUUAACGAAGACAUUUAUAAAACCCUGAGCUCAAAUUUCACUAAACAUAGAGUAAUGGUACACAUUCCAAAUUUUUAUUCAAAUUUAAUUCCAAAUAAUGUGUUAUUAAUUGAGUGUUUGGAAAUUCUUUACAAGAUCCAAGAAAAUUAAUUAUAUCAUAUCACUAAUCAUUUGAUGAACGCCACAUCAUUUGAGAUAAUUUUUUAAGUUGAAAAAUUUAGAAUAUGUAACACUGCUCUACAUAUACAAUAGUUAAUUAUUGACUUAUGACAUACAUUCACAUCAAUUAAAUAUCUGCUGUCUCCAAUAACUUUAUACACUUUUGGUUUAAGAGCUAAAGAAAUUGAUGAUGUAACGGGAGAGAAAAGCGAAAAAAGACACAGAAUUGACCUAAGGUUUUACCUUAGUGGCAGAUGAAGCUAGAGAAAUUGAAGCUGAUGAUGGUGUUGAUGAUGAUGAAGGGGUUGAAAGGGCAGAGAGCCCCACAUUGUAAGCCAUAGUGCCAUCAGGUUGAAAGAGACCGUAAUUUCUUUCAGAAGUUGGCCCAGGCUUCAUAUCCUCAUUGAAUAAUGCAAACAAGUAAACUUCUAGCCUCAUAUUUGGCCUCAAUGGUGUCCCUUCAUUUGCCAUUUGCCUUCUCAACAAAUUCUUAUUGUAUGUUGCCGCAUUCACAACGGUGGCGCCGACCUCGUUGGGGUCGCCUUUCGAUGGCCACCCGGUCUCGGAAACCCUAACUUCAAUACCAUUGUACCCCAACCUAGCCAUGGCGAAAAUAGCAGCAUCCACUUGUGCGUAUAGCAUGUUGUCGUAGUGAAGUUUUGUGUAUGGAUCAACCAUGCCUGAGUUAGGAUUAAAAAGUGCAUAAUCUAAGGAAAUCCUAUUUGGAGCAUCUUUGUAUGCAAAAUAUGUAUAUGCAUUAAUCCAAAAUGGUGCCUUGGUACUUGACAAGAACUGUAAAUACUGUGACAUGAUUCCGGCAACUUCGGUUUUGAAACUACCGGCUGAAGGAGGAUAUGAUUCUUCUAAAACCGCUAAGGAAUUAGGUGUAGAAACUUGAAUGUACUUAUCAAGGCCUAAUUGAACUAAAGCACCAUGAAUGCUGACAGUGGCUGGGACAAGGUUCUGUAUCAGUGACGUGUCAUCGUCGGUGAAGACCUCGUUUCCGACUGCGAUGCCGGUGAUCUUUGUGGCCGGAAAGUAUGGCUUGAUGUGGGUGCUUACCCAUUGAAGUGCUUGUUGAGGAUCCACUAAAACAGCCAGCAUUUGGUUUUCAACAGUGACUAUAAGCUCAAUGUUGGAGUUUGCGAAUGCUGUUAAGACUUGAGGAUUUGUGUCAUAAAUUCUUGAUUUUGUGAUCUUAAGAGAGCUUAAGAGAUCAACAACCUUGUCGGGCGGCGGCAAAUUGUUAGCUACUUGUCCAUAGUUAACUCCAAGACAGGUGACUCCAAAAUCUGCAAAUUAAUUAUUAAACGACGUACAGAGAAAUCAAGAAUAAUUCAAUGGAUUAAUAUGAAAAUUAAGACAAGUUUAAGCUAUAGAAAUAAAAGCGAAAGGAAAUUACCUGAGAAAGUGAGAGAAAGUAAAAGAAAAAAUGGGAUCAAGGCAAUAUUCCUGCAAAAAGUUGCCAUUGAUUGAUUGAGAGAAGGGCCCUGCAAAUUUGAAGAUGAGAAAGGGAGAGAGGUUAGUUAUAGAGAAGUAUUGGGAGAUCCCAAAAUAAGAGGAGGACUAUGAAUUCUUUUCUUUGCUUGUUUGAAAUUUUGUUUUGUUUUGUUUUGUUUUGUGGGGGUGUGUUGGAUAGCUAGCUUGCCUUGUAAGUUGUAACCAAUGUUGCCUUUUGCUCUUACCUCUUAACCUGUCUUUAAAUGACUUGGUUUUCUCAACUUCUUCAACUCGUCAACUGGCUUUUUUAUCAAGACUACAACUUGUCUCUUUUCCAUUCCUAUUUGACAGAAUUGCCCUCAGCCACUUUCUUCAGACAAAAGCAAUGGAAUAUCCCACUAAUCAAUUAGUUAGUAAUUAGGAGGAAGCAAUUGGGGGAUCCCUACAUUUGGGGUGCGGUAAAAAUGUUAGUGCAUGAUAAUGAUAAGAGAUUCCACUUUUAUCUUAGCUAUUUUAUAUCAAUAUAUUCUCUACUACGUUUUUAGGGCAGCGGCUGGACUGUUUUGUAUUUGUGUAAAUUUUCCUAAAUAUACUUAAUUAGAAGAUGAUACCAAGCUUAAUUAAGCCUCUAGUUUCAUUCAAUAUACUAAUAAUUCGGCGCAUAAUUGAUUAGUGAAUUAAAAAAAAAAAUCCACAGGAAAACGACUUACUUAAAAACGGAAUGAAAGAGUCAUUUAAUUUGGUCAGAAGUAGAAUGAACAAAAUCGUAAAAAUGCUUUAAUUAAUGAGGAGAUGUACAAAUUAACAAGGUGUGUGACAUGGGUACGUAAUUGAGGUAAAAAUUCAAAGACAAAAAAUCUUACGUAAUUUGGCCAAAAUUGAAUUAAAGAAAGGAAACCCCAAUGAAAAGUAAAUGUUUGGUAAGCGGAUAAGGAAUGGAAUACGUGGGAAUUGUUUGGAGACGUAGGUGUCCUUAUCUUCCGGCAAGGAGGCUGCUUAUGUUUCUUUGCUUGGUGACGAUGCCAAUUGCUCUUUUCAUUCGCUAACACAUCGGACAGUCAACAAUAGUUUGUACUAACACAUAUGAAAGAGAUCAGAACUAGGCCGGCCAUCAAAAAAAGUCGAAAGAGAUUUGAAAGUUCGUGUUUUGAAUGUUCCAUCAUUUUCGGCACAUGAUAUUUAUUUUGAUGGCCGUAUUGCAGCUUAACUUUAUUAUCUUGCCUUCCAUAACAUUCUAUGCUGUUCGCUGGUUGGAUGAGGCUAUAAUCUUGCUUCUGAGUUGCUAUCUAGGACGUUGAAUGGUACAAUCGCAUCCUAAAACUGCACCGCAUUGAUUCAACUGGUGAAAAGUUUAACAUGGGAAAGGCAAGCAAAUUGAAAUUACUGAAACUGGAGAAAUAGGCACUCGUUCUGCGUUAAGGCAAUACUAGUCUACAAGAUUAAUGAGAGGCCUCUCAUUUAGUUUAACUAUGGAUCGAAAAUCCUGACCAUAUUACUAAAUAUCUCAAUCAUGCAUGUUGAUUUUUCAAUAAUAAAGUUUUUGUCUGCUAGUAUGCUAAGUAAGUUAACAUAUAUUAAGCUACCUUUUUUUUUCUUUUUGUUGGGGGGGGGGGGGGGGGGGGGGGGGGGGGGGGGGGGGGGGGGGGUGUUAUUACAGCAUAUAAUAUGUAAUUAUAUGUUUCUCAAUAUGACAUUAGAAACCCAUUCAAAUACACAUUAAUGUAAAUUGUUAAAUUACUGGCCAAUUAACUUUUAAAGGUUGCAAUCCAAAUGCAUUGUCGUACAAAAAAUUAAUCUUAACAAGAUAGACUUGGAUCUCAAAGGCAGACAAGUUGCAGUGAUGUUAGGCUUUGUAAACUGUUAACAGGCGUCACCAUAGCCAAGCAUGUGAUCGGGUGCUGGAAAAAGAGAUAAAAAGAAAGCCUAGCUGAUCACAUUGCAAAAAGGACCUUUAAUUGUUUAAAGCAUCCAUUCAUGUCAUCAAAAUCAAUUUAACAUUUCCUACCUCAUUUUCUCUGCUUUCUUAAUGAAGAAUGAAAAAGCAAACGAAGAGAGGGAGGAUAUCUUCAUAUAUUCCACAACCCAUGAACCAAAGAAAUGGAAGAGCACCAUAUAUGUCCCUUGUUAGCCGGUCAAUGCUAUAUAGCUUUUAUUUAUCCUUUUUUAUAUCCAAACAGAUUUGUUUGUGCAAGUGAGAGAUAUGAUAAAGAAGUAAAGACAUUAGCUUUCGUUAAAGAAGAAGUUGGUGCUAAAAGGAAGAAGCAUGAUGGAAGAAAAAGGAAUGGGAAAGUAAGUGAAGUGCAUGCAAAUGCAUUGCACGAAAGUUCUUCUGUUCUUGAUUAACAGUGUAUGCACAUGUAUGUGUUUUGCUCACUGACAUGCUUCUUUCCAGGAAUUUCUAUUCCUUAGAAUUAGAUUGGAUUCCAAAAAUGUAAGAAUCAUUUCCCAAUUUCCAAGAUUUUUAACCAUGUCGGGAAUCCAGAAUCUCCACCCCCCCCCCCCCCCCCCCCCCCCCCGGCCCGCAAUUUUCAUGGCUUUGUAUAAAAAGGGCGCAAGAGCUAAUUAUUAGCUGAUGAUUAUUUUGCAUAUUUGCAACAAAGGUAAUUAUCAAUUGAUAAGGCAAUUGAAAGAAACGAAAAGCAGAAAUGGUUAUUGGUUUAUGGUUAUGUAAAGGCAAAUAUUUCUUGACAAGUAAAGAGCUCUAUUAUGGUGGUCCUUUGGAAUUGGGGUAAUAGUGGACCUAGCUACAUCCAUUUGUCUAUUUUAUGCAGUAGUCAUGGUGUUGAAAUAAGAUUAUGUGGAAGUAUACAAAUACAAAAUACUAUAAAUUAGAUGUAUCUUGUAAAUUACAAAAAUGGGUGAACUGUAUGUUUAGUGUCUUUGAUAACAUUGUCAAUGUAGAUUUUUUCUGAUCUAAAUUUAUAUGUGAUUAAAUAAAUACGUAUAGUAUAGUAAGUAAUUGGUAGUCAAUAAAAUAAAAUUUAAUAGACAAAUAUAUAAAUUAUUAGAACUACAUAUGUUAGGGCGUGAGCCCUGAGGCAUGCCUCAUUUAAACCCAUUUUAUUAUAUUUCAUUGUUUGUGCCCUUUAAACUUCUAUUUCCAUGUUAUGAUUUCCAAUAAAUGAUAUUUGAGCUAUCAGAUUAUUUCACCGGCUCUACUUUUUAAUUUAGCUUAUUACUUUUCAUAAUUAUUUUUAUUAAAAAAAUUAUUAUUUUAUUUUAUUAUCUCUUCUCCACUCUCAAUGGCAUAACCAUCACCGGCACCCUCCAUCACCUAUCUUCAUCAAGUACAAGUUCACAAUUGCCACCAUCACCACCUAUCCUCUUCACUAUCAACCAUCACCUCGGCCAACACAUAAAUGAUGAAUUUCAAUACGGACUUGUUGUUAAAUUUUAUGAAUGAGUGGUAAGCUUUCUUAUUAUUGAUGAUAUUAGUUUUUACUUUGCGUGAUAAUCUAAGAUUCUAUUUAAUUUCAAUUUGAAAUUUGAUUAUAAAUUAAUAUUCGAUUCAAAUUAUAUAUCAAUUAAAAAAAUGAGAGAGAUGUCAUAGAUGAUCUAUGGAGAGCAUGACAGAGAAUAAAAAAAUAUUUAUUUUUUUAAUUAGUUUAAUUUAGGAAUAGAAAAAUAUUAAUUUAAAGUGGGGGUUAGUGAGAUAUAUGGGGAGCAUGACAGAGAAUAAAAAAAUAUUUAUUUUUUUAAUUAGUUUAAUUUAGGAAUAGAAAAAUAUUAAUUUAAAGUGGGGGUUAGUGAGAUAUAAUGAAAGGGUAGAUAUCACCACUCAUGAUUUCCUCAAAUCUAUGUUUCUGAUAAAUUUUAAAAGAUAGUGUGAGCAUAGUCUAAAUUGAUUUUUAGCUAUUUAUUUCUCUAAUAAUUCGAAGUUGGGUGCCUAGUUAAAUGAAUUUUGCUUGAAAGUCACUUAAUUAAACCUUUAGGACUAGAGCAUGUUGAAAUGAGUUUCGGUAGAGAGAAAUUGAAAAGAGCAUCAGACUGUCUCAGUAUAAUUACAUGAAAAUAUUAUUUUGACUAGAAAAAGAAAACUAAUUAAUGGAUUUGGUAGGUAAGUGCCCCUUCGAUUUUAAAAUUAGCAAAUCAGCCUCAUUAGAGGUUAUUUUAUUUAAAUAUACCUCAUUUGCCCCUAAAUAUCAAAUCUAUAUCCUAUUACAUAUAUAUGCCUCAUGAAGGUAGAAAAAAUAAAAAAAUAUCCUUAAAAAAAUAUUUAUCUACAUUUUCUUCCUCUCUUAGUUUUCUCCUCUCGGCUCUCACCAUUUAUUUCUCACGAUUUGCUUUUCUCACCAUUUUUUUCCUCUCUCAUUAUUUUAUCUCUUACCUCCAAUACAGAGUUUUUUUAUAAAUAUAAACUCUUCAAAAUGUGCAUUAUCAAGUGGUGGAUAAUGUAUGUUUGAAAUGUAAACAUUUUAUAUGCUCAGAGUUUGAUUUGAUUUCAUUACGAGUUUAUUCGUUGUUGAUUUAUGAGUUUAACUGUACAUUAUUUAUUGUUGUGCUUAUACAUCCACAAGAAAAUUUAUUGGGUAUUUUAGAGCAAAUGAGGUAUAUCACACGCAAUUCUCCCCCUCAUUAGUGUCUGUUUGUAGCUGUUCAAAUUAAAGUCCCAUCUCAAAAAGGCUCUCUUUAGUACUUUGCAAAUGGAUAGUGAUACUGAUGGGCCAAUUAACGGUUACGCUGAACUUGUCUCUCCGAAUCAAAGCAUUAGAGAUUUGACGAAGCACUAGCACUUGUGGCUCGCCCAUCAUGGCCCAACAGCGGCAGAGUUCAAUUUUUCAACUUUAUCCGCUGAUUUAUUUAUCAGAGCCAGCUGGUUGUGGUUGAAACCUUUAAAGACAUUUCGAGUUGUACGAAAAAGGAAAAACUUGUUUUCAAAAACAUGACGGAAAUUUCUACUUUUUGGUUAAUUCAUAGAAAAGCACUUUAUUUUCAAGGCCAAGUUUUGUACUUUGCAGAAUAUGUUGCAAUCCAACAUUUUUCUUUUCGGAUGCUUCAAAAUUUUGAAGUUAUUUCUUUAAACAAAAAAAAAAUUUCUAAGGAGUUCUUUCUUUAAAAAAAAAAGGAGUUAUUAUUUCUCAGUCAUAUAUCUUAUAAAAUGAAAAUUUAAAGCACUUAUACUUGACUUGAGAUUAUGCUAGCCUCUAAACGUUUAAGUGACUUGGCACAUAAAGAAUAAUUAUUAAGAAUCUCGAUAUUUAGGUUCUAAUUGAUGUGAUGUUUAUCUAUUAAAUGAUAAUAAUAAUUAACUAAUUUUAAAAUUUAUUAGAUAAUAAUUCUAAUAGAUGAAUGGCAUGUGUAGUUAAAGAUAAACGUUGAGAUCUCUAAUAUUACUAUUAUUUUUAUGUAAAUACACAAUGAAUUAGUUUAUAUAUAUAUCAAAACAAGUUUGAUGCCAAUUAAGAACUUAUUCACUUGUUAAAUUAAAAAAAUUACUCAAUACGCUUUUUAAAAUUCCAAAACAGUCCUUAAUUAUUUGCUUACUUCAACUCAGAAAAUUAAAUAUAUUUCAUGCCAAUUAAGAACUUAUUCUCUCUCUCUCUAUAUAUAUAUAUAUUAGUCACAAAAUUAUUAGUAUGAUUUCUUAAAGGUUCGAUUGUUUCAAGAAGUAUUGGAAUUGGAAGCCCAAGUAUCAAAAUUGCUAAUAUGGAUGAAUCGAAACCAAACUGCUCAUUCUGUUUUCUUUUUAAAAAAAAACUGGUACUGUUUUGAAAUUGAUAUAAUGUCACCGUCAAGAAGCAGAACAAUGAAAUUAGAAAGAUAAAAAUUAUGGUUUAAGUUAAUAUAAUUUAUACCGAAUGGGUGUAGUAAAAGGGUGUCAAGAGCAAUAUAUUUUAUUGACUCACACAAGAUUGUCCCAAAUAGUAAAUUAAAUUUUGGGCAUUUUUGUGGUAUAAAAUUUAUAAAAGGGUGGGACUAUUGAAGCCACCAAAUUACUUUCUACAUCUAUUUUAAAAAAUAAAUUUAUUAAUUAUAUGUCUAAUAAUAUUAAAAAUCUCAAUAUUUAAGCCGUAUCUAAUCACAUGUGUCACUCAUCUAUUGGAUGAUAAAUAAAUAAAUAUUUUUUAACUUAAUUUUAAUGGAUUAAGAGCAUUAACUGCUACUUAAUACAAUAUUAUGUUCCCAUUCUUUUCUCCCUCUCCUCUCAUGUGCCUUUCUCUAAUUCUUUAUGUUUUUAACGGAAAAUACUACUAUAAUAAAAAUUUAGAUCACAAAAUUUUGACAAAAUGUAUAAAAAGAAAUAAAAUAUCUUGAUAAAAUGUAAGUUGACUGCAUCUAGCCUUAUAUUUUAAUAUGUUUAUACCUUAAUGAAAAUUUUGUAAGCCAUUUUUUGUACAAGGAGCAUUAAUGGGUUUUCCCACUCUAUUGCUUUGUAUGAUUAUGAUCUUCUGGAGGAGCCAUAUUCUUUUUGCUUCAAUUGGAAAAAGUCAUGCGAUGUGCUAUGUGGAUAAAUCAAAACGGUUCACAACCUCAAACAGAUGAGGAUUUUUUGUUUUUUAAUACAUUAGAGCCUAGUAUAAAUUAGAACAUAACAUAAUGAAAAAUAAAGGUCCUAUACAUAUCAUUGCAUAACUAAUAACCAAUCCCUUCAAGAGGGGUUUCAAAAACAUGAAGAUGAAGAGGAGGGGUUUCAAAUAGGGAUUGAGAUCCUCUUCUGAUUUGAACACUCUUGAUUUUUUACAGAUCUUGUGCCACGUGUGUUUUAAUAUUAGUGAAUGAUUAAAAUUUAACUAUUUUUUUUCUUUUUCAUUUAUUAAUCAUCAAUUAUAUUAAUAACACUUGUUCAGAUAAAUAUCAUAUUAGGAGAUUAUCUUGAUCCUUCAAAUUGAGGGGAUUAUAUAUCGCAUUAGGAAAAGUCCAAACCUCUUGUGGAGACCCAAAAGGCUUGUAAAUAGUGCCCAAUAAGCAUCUAUUAUUCAUAGGCUCUUUAGUAGGGGUGAGCAAAUCGGGUUUCGGUUUGGGUUUCAACCCGUUCGGGUUGGAGAAUUGAACCCAAUCGGGUUGAAAACGCCAACCCGAACCAAACCGAACCGAAUUUAAUUCGGUUCGGUUCGGUUCGGUUUGGGUUGGCAAUUCGGAUCGGAUUAGGUUGAUAAUUCGGGUUAAAAUUUCGGUUCGGGUUAAUUCGGGUUAGUUCGGGUUAGAAUAAUUCGGGUUAGAAUGGGUUGAAAUAAUUUAAUCUAAAAAUUCUAACAACUACCACUUAAAAUCUAAAAAUUUCAAUUCCAAACAUCUUUAACAACAAAUAUCAACUACAAAUCAUCCUUAAUAACAUUUCAACAAUUUAAAAAUCUCAAUUCCAAACAUUCCAAACAUCCUUAAGGAACAAUUUAAUUCAAAAAUUAUAACAAUCACUUAAAAUCCAAAAAUCUCAAUUCCAAACAUCCUUAAUAACAAAUAUCAACUACAAAUUAUCUUUAAUAACAUUUCAAUAAUUUAAAACUCUCAAUUCCAAAUAUCACAAUUUAAUUAAUAAUAACUACAAUAACAGCAACAACAUUUGGAAAUAUAUAUAACUUUGUCGAACAACAGUUAAGUUAAACACAAACAAUAAUAAUAACACUAAUAAUAACUACGAAUCAACAAUUCAACAUAUUGCCAUUUUCUAAAUUAAAAAAAAGCAAAGAUUAAUCAAUUAAUUAACAAUCUCCAAUUUAAUUAAUAAUAAGAGCAACAAACCCACUCCAAUUUAAUUAAUAAUAGUCUCCACUCUCCAAUUGUUCAAUUAUCAGUAAACCCACUCCAAUUUAACUAAUAACAAUCUCCAUUUGUUCAAUUAUAAAUCAACAACAACAAACCCACUCCAAAUAAUUGAAUAAUUACCAAUCAAUUAAUUAAAAAUAUACAAUUUAAUUAAUAGCAACAGGCUGUUAAAAACUUAAAAUUCGAUUCGGGUUGUUGCCAUCAGCUGCGAGCAAGUCAGCAAGUUACAGCAUCGGCAAAGCGAGACAAACCUUGAUCUCGGAGCAACUACAGCAUCGGCAGAUCGAGACUGUGCUGGGCUGAGUGGGAUGCAAGGUGAACGCAUAGCGCAGUUGCGGGCGAGCGUGCUGGCUGACGGCGAGUGGGCUGUGGUGAACGGCUGGUGUCUGUUGGAGCUGGACGGGGCUGCCGGCUGCUGCUGUCGUCGUGGGCCACGAAACUCAGAAAGUGAGAAGAGGGAGCAAGGAGGGGGAGGGAGUGAGAUGGUGAGACUGAGAGUUUCUGUUGGAGCUGAAUGGGGUUGCCGACUGCUGCUGUCGUCGUCGGCCAUGAAACUCAGAAAGUGGGAACUGAGAAGAGGGAGCAAGGAAGGGGAGGGAGUGAGACGGUGAGAUUUUUGUUUAGGGAUUUUUUGGUUUAAUGUAUAUAUAUUUUUUAAUUCAAAAGCUGAAUCUUAAAAAAAAAAAAAAGCUUCAACCCGAACCGAAAUUUAACCCGAACAGGUUGAAGCUUUGAAUCCGUUCGGGUUUCACCGGUUAACCCAAAUCGAACCGAACGCCCACCCCUACUUUUUAGUAAGUAGUCUUUCGCUAACUUAUCACUCAUUCAAAGAUUCUCCCUAGAUUUUCCCUUGCUUUCUCCGGAUCCAAACUGACUUAAGCCUCAAAAUGUGGCUGUUCCACCGUCAGCUCUUCUCAAAUGUCAAUCUCAACUCUCAAGGCAACUAUCUCAAUCCAAGGGCAAGUCCGUAAUUCUCUAGCAUUUGACGGUAAGAAUAUACACUCAAAUCUUAGAAAUGAAUAAUUCAUAUUAAAUUAAGAGUAGUUAUACAAGUAUUAAAUAUUUUUGUACAAAUUGAUGUAGUGAAUUGAAAACAUCUCACGUCAUUGCUUUUUAUUAUUUAUAUUUUCAAGUAGCAAAUCAUGCUAUGCCAUAUCAAUUUAUAUAAAAUUGAACAAAAUUAAAAUUUACAUCAAUUUAUGUAUAUGUGUUUAUGGGCCUAGAAUUAUUCUUAAAUUGAAUAAAAUUAUAUUUGUUGGGAGAAUUUUUCUGUUUUAAUGAUUUUACCCGACUCGAAUAUGGAUUAAUCGGGGGUCCAAUGUGAUUUUUGGAUAUCAAAUAAUUCAAUACACUGAAAAAAAAAUUAAAAGAUUUUUUUUUUUUUUUGGUUAUAAUUCAAUCUUCAUUGGAAAAAAAAACCAUUGUAAGCACAGCAGCCAUCAGUUGCAGUGCUAAUAUAGUAAUCAAAAGAUGGGAUUACAGGUUAAUGAGAAUUAAUAUUCUAAUAACUCUAUUUGGGAUCUGACAAAUUAAAACCUCCUCGUGCUUAUCUCUCUUUGCGCGCAUGCAUACAAACAUUCACAAAUUUUUUCCACCAAGUAUUUUUUCCACAUUGUCGUGGAGUCUUGGGUAGCCACAUACUCCACACAAGCUCACAGUACUACGCCAUCAUCUCAUCUAAAUAAUUAAAAGCCUAAAUCAAAUAGACUUCCCAGCAAAAAUAUGUGAGCGCCGUUUUGAAUAUACAAUAUAUAGAUCCAGUUUUUAGAAACCAUUAACAUUCCAUCACAAGAACAUCAACACCAAUUAACCCAGCUGACAGAAGAGAGGAGAAAUAAAUAAUAAUAUAAAUUACACUUAACGACCCUUAAGGUCAACUGAGAAGAAACAUGAUUCAUAAUAGUUAAUAUAUAUGCCACUGCUAGCUAGCUAGCAGCUACAAUUCAAUAAUGCGAAUUAUAUUAUGCCCACAGCCACUGCAACUCCUCCGGCGGAGGGAACUCCAAGUCGAAGAUCAGCCUAUUAACCUCCAAGUCCUUAAACGACACGCCUUUUGAUAACAUGGAAACCGGUGACACAUUAUAAUUAUUAUUAUCAUCGUUGACGACUUCGCCUUCAAGCUUAUUAACCUCAACUGAUAUAACUUCUCUCCUUGAAUCUGCUGCUGAUGAUGAGUUGCUUUCUUUAAUCCAUGCAACGCUAGAAUCCUUGCCCGUAAGCUUCUGAACGACGGAUUUGAAGCUGACGGGGUCAGUCUCUACGUACUGAGUAUCCAUUAGUACUACCUUAACGGCUUCUUGCUUUUUGCUUGACAUCGUUGUAACUAGUAUAAAUUAAAGAAGGAGAGGAAAAGGAAAAAAAAGCGCUUUUUGGAGAAUCUUUUCCUGCGUUAAAUUGUAUGAUUAUUUUAUUAGAAUUGUGAGUUUUACUUAUAUACAGGAAGCUAAGAGGGAGAGUCGCAAGAAAUGGGGACACAAGGUGAAGGUGGGGUAUUGAUGAGGCGUUUUGGCAGUCAAUAAUGACUCACACUGGAUCGAGUCAAGGGCACGCAACUUGGAAUCUUCAUGGUCAAUCUUAUUGUUCCAAUUUCCAUCGCCACAUAUGACAGCUUUUUUUUUUUUUUUUUUUUUUUUUUUUGAUUAUACGAGACUAUUGCUCAAAUUACAACUCAUAUUACAUGAGAAUAUAACUGAUAUGUACAAAUCAGAUUAUAACUGGGACCAACAUACAUCAAAUCUAAUAGAGCGCUGCCCAGAUUUUAACCUUCUCAAAUAUUCGAGGGAUGUCUACUCCUCGUACUGGGGCAAGGAAGCAGACUGCCUUCACUCAAUUUUAACCCACAUAUGACAGCUUUAUUAGCUUACCUUACCUAAGUUUUACAGUUGAUCUUCGAGCUAUCUAGCUAACGGGAAUUAAACUUAUAAAUAAGUUUUAACACAUCUUGUCCUGUUAAUUCAGUUUUAUUCAUGCUAUCACUUUUAGCUUUCAUUUGUUUACAUUGGAUGGUUGUAACGAUCGAGAACAAACUUGACGAUUAUGUGAAGUAAAUUUGAAGAGAGGUUUGUAGAAUCUCGUCACUAGGAAUUCGGUGUUCUUCGAUUUAUUAUUAUUAUCAUUAUUAUUUUCUUAUUUUUAACUCUUCUCAGUCACUUUGAUUCUUAUCAUACGUUAUAACGUCUAAUCAAUUCCUAAUUAAUUAAUCACAUUCUCAUUAUUUAUAUAGUAUUUAAAAGAAUUAAAAAAAAAAACUGUGACGAGAUUUACUUUUUUUAUAUAAUUUAUAUCACCACUUUGAUUUUUAUUCUCUCUCUUUAUAUAUAUAAAAUACCCAUUAGAGUCUUCAAAAUUUACAUAAACAGUAAAAUCAGUUUUUGGUAUGACUCAAUAUUAUAGUUUGUUAAAUAAUUAGGCAGUCAUGAGAAAUUACGUUUAAGUCAACUAUAAAUAAUGAAACUUAGUAGGUGCCAAAUAAUAAAUAAUUAAAAUAUGACUAAGAAAGUCCGUAAGGAUGGAUCUGAAAUUGACGAAGACCGAAGAUACAUUAGAUGGAAAAGUUUAGAAGCAGUGGCGAGAUUUUCAUGGCCCCUCUCUUGUCAUAUUUUUGGACGAGAAUACCGCCACUUGUCCUAAACUUUUCCUUCAAAAUUAUCUUCCAUCCUCGUCAGUGUCAAAUCAAAUCCAUCCUUAUAUUAUCGCCAAGUAAAGGAAAGGGACCUGCUGAUGGCUGAUGCUAUGCCCUACGAGUGUGCAAUGACUGUGGAAGAGCAAAAGGAUCUCCGUUGGGCUUCGGGUGGAGUGUCAGUUGCUAUCCGGAUAACAAGUAUUGGGCUUCCUCGGCCCAAACUUUUAACUUCACGGGCAUCUCUGCUUAAUGUUGCUCGCCGCUCCACUUGCACUGGGUCUCAACCAAACAGAAGCCCAAGCCUGAUGCAUUUUUUCCCUUAUUAUUUUAUUAUUUUUUUCCCUUGAGUUGAUUUGAGCUUCUUCUAAUUCUCAGUUUUUAAUGCUACCAAUUAAAAUCUUUUUGUUUAAAUUAUUUUUUUAAAGGGUAGAAGUGUAGGUAAAUUUUUGUAUUCAAAUUUAAUACUAUUUUUUAGGAAUUUGUAUUCGAGAGGUCAAUUAGAUUUAUUCUAUAUUGAAGUAUCGUAUUAUCGUAGAAAAAGAUGCUGCAAUUAUAAAACAAAGGUUAACAAUGCAAGGUAAUUUUUUUAACAAAAAAAUUGAUAAAAAUAAUUAAGAUGUUAUAAUUUUUUUAUUAUUAAAAAAAUAAAAAAAUUAACUUAACCAAAUUGGGUGUGGCUAAAUAAUCGUCUUAAUUGAAAUUGAGGUUGGACAUGUAUAACUUAAAAGAUAUGUAACUUGGAAGUUAAGUUAAUUUGAAUUUAUACUUUUAUGAUAAAAAGUCUAUUAUAUUUUUAUUAAUUUUGUCAAAUUACUAUUUAAAAUUGUAUUUAGUAUAUAUUAUAAAUUUUUAUUUCAUAUUUAUAAUUUUUUCCAUAAUCGCUGUAACUUUAAAACUACCGUAUCUCAAUACCAAAUAGGAGUUAUAUUAUAUGUAAUUUAUAUCCAAUUUAAGAGUUGCAUCUAAUAACUCAAAACAUGCAUCUAAUCAAAUAUAAUACUUGAUUAGAUGUGUAAUUCUUGAAUCAAAUAUAAAUUAUAUAUAAUGUAAUUUAGUAUAACCUAACUUUUAAAUCAUAACUGUAAGUAUUUAUCAAAACACUUUAAAAUUAAGACUUAAAAAUUAUAUCUAUUCAAUUAACGUAUCAAAGCAACCCUAAAUAAAGUUGAUCGAAGACCGUAUUUAGGGUUGCUUUGAUAGUUUAAUUGAAUAGAUAUAAAAUCUGAAAAAUGGGCAAUUGAAUUUAUUCGUCACGAGAAAAAAGAAAAAGAAAAAAGAAAAAAAAGAAAGUUCUGUAUGCAUCUUCUUGCUACAUGGUACAUAAACAACUCUUAUUAAUUCUAGAGAGUAGGAAACGUAAAAAGAAAAUUAAAUUAAAUUAAACAAAUUUUUUUUUUUAAAAAAAGAAAACUAAAAAACAGCUUCUUUCUAUCCCUGUGUCCGUCUCGCGUACAGGAGGAGCCGGGGGAGGAGGAUAUCUAAAAAUCUAAAUAGAUAUCAAAUCUUCUUCAUUUUUUCACUUCUGCGUGCGUGUGCUUUUUUUUUCCCCCUUUUUUUUUUUUUUCAAUUUGCAGUGAGUGAAUUAAAAAUGCACUAAUAAACGACCUAUUUCAUGUCUCUCCCCAACAAACGCACAGCCAGCAACAACAACAGCAACAAUUAUUCACCUUCGGCAAUGAAGAAGGCCAAGUCCCAAGCCGUGGCCUGCUCUGUGGACACCGCCAACAAGAACGGUCUCCACCACGACAACGACGCCGUUUUCGAUCCCUCUUCUAUUUCUCUCGAUGACGAUCUUAAGCCCGACGAACCCCGACAACAAGCCGCCGCCAAUUUGUCCCGCAAAAAAGCCCAGCCCCCUCAGCCCGCCAAAAAACUUGUCAUCAAGCUCCUCAAAGGUACGCCCUUGCUUACUGCUUGUUUCUUUUAUUCGAUCAUUCGUCUUUUGUUUGUUUAGGUUUUGGUUGAGGAUAUCGAGGGUUUUGCUUCUGAGUAUUGGAGAGGCUUUAAAUUUGGAUUUUUGUUUGUUUUGAGCUGAUCUUUUCGCGUGGUUACUUGAAUUUAUUUGGUGGACCUUUGAAUUGGAUUGGUUAUGGGAUCUGAGUUCUCGUUUUUCAUUUGUUAAUUGAGGAACUUUAUCCAGUGGUUGAAAUUGAUUUGGGUAUUUCUCACUUUUGCUAUGUUUAUUUGUAACCAUUAGGAAAUUGCAAUUUCGGAUUGAUUGGCCGAGUCUGUUUGGUUUCAUUUUAUUUUAUUCCCUGAGGCACUUAUUAAACCAGGAGCUGACUAGGGUUUUAUUUUUAUCACUUGAGUAAGUAAAAAUGAGACCAAUCUAGGGUUUUCCCUGGUGAUAGUUUGAAUCAAUCUGAUCAGUUGUUAGAAGUGAUUUGGUAGCUAGGGUUUCGGUGUGCCGUUCUAAUUUAUCGUUAUUCAUUGCGAUGAUUUGGUACAAUUCAAUUUUCUAUUUAAUUUGGGUUGCAUAUGCAAAUGUUUAGUGCAACUGGAAAAACCUUGUUGAGGCAGAUGUUGCUAGUCUAGCAAUUUGAAACUUGAAGAAUUCUCAACUUAUGGUCUAAUUUUAGAAGAUAUGCUGACGUGAUAAAUAAUUCGGAAUUUUGUGUCUGUGAAGCUAAACCCACACUGCCUACAAAUUUUGAGGAGGAUACAUGGGCAAAGCUGAAGUUAGCUAUAAAAGCAAUAUUCUUGAAGCAACCAACUUCCUGUGAUUUGGAAAAGCUAUAUCAGGUAGAUAUAAAUAAUUUUUCAUUCUUUGUUUAAUAAUGUGGCUCUUAUUAAUGUGAAAUUUGUCGUGCAUGAGGGUUUCACAAAAGAAAAAUUAUGUCAUCCUUAGGCUGUCAAUGAUCUUUGCCUGCACAAGAUGGGGGGAAACCUUUAUCAGCGAAUUGAAAAGGAGUGUGAAGAACAUAUAUCUGCUGCAAUUCGAUCGUUGGUCGGUCAAAGCCCUGACUUGGUGGUUUUCUUAUCACUGGUUGAGAGAUGCUGGCAGGAUCUUUGUGAUCAGAUGUUGAUGAUUCGUGGUAUAGCUUUGUAUCUAGAUAGAACAUAUGUGAAACAAACACCAAAUGUGCGUUCAUUGUGGGACAUGGGAUUGCAGCUUUUCCGGAAAUAUCUUUCUUCAUAUUCAGAAGUUGAGCACAAAACUGUCACUGGUCUUUUAAGGAUGAUUGAGAGGGAAAGGUAAUGCUUAGAAAGUUAAAUAUAACCAAUACUGUGUAUCAUUAAAUCUUCUAGAUUAUCAAUAAUAAUGAAGUUAUUUUUCUCUUUUUAUAUCUAUGGGUUGAAUUUUUUUAUGUUCCUUUAGUUGAUCCUGGCACAAAUUUUAUGAUUGAAUUGUGGUUGUGGGUGGGGGUUAAUUUGAUAUGCUCUGGAAUUCACAGUGUUUUCUUUUUUUCCUUUGGGGUGGGGUGUGGUUGCACUGUCUUUUAGAUUAGGUGAAGCUGUUGAUAGGACACUCCUUAAUCAUCUAUUGAAGAUGUUCACCGCUCUGGGAAUUUACUCCGAAAGCUUUGAGAAACCAUUUCUUGAGUGCACGUCGGAGUUUUAUGCCGCCGAAGGCAUGAAAUACAUGCAGCAAUCAGAUGUUCCAGAUUACUUGAAGCACGUGGAGGUACUGUUUAUAUUCCUCUAUGCCCACCAUUAGCUGCCAUAUAUUUGUCUCUUUUUAUUGCAUGAUACAUAACUACAAAUUGCUUGUUUUACGUUGCUCUCUGUUACCUAAAAUGUUGAACUAGAUAGUUGGGAUUCCUGGAUUUGAAAAAUAUCUGGGAACAAAAUUUGUGUAGCCAACAAAAUUUGGGGGAAAAAAUUGGAAUCCAACUGCACUACAAUCCAGGAAUCCCAGAUCGGAUAAUUUUCCCUGGAUAGUUUUGUUUUACUUAUGAUCUCAUGAUGUAUGUUGAAAUAUUUAGGAUUUGCUGAUGGCUCCUUCUCUUUCACAGAUAAGGUUGCAUGAAGAACAUGAAAGAUGUUUACUAUACCUUGAUGUAAGCACAAGAAAGCCACUUAUAGCAACUGCCGAAAGGCAACUUCUUGAACGACAUAUAUCUGCGAUUCUCGACAAGGUGUGGAGUUAAUUCUUUUAGCUUAUUCUCUCUAUGCAUAUACUAGAAUUUGGAUUGCUUUUGUAGUUAUGGUUUCUUUCUGUUCAGGGGUUCACAAUGCUGAUGGAUGGCCAUCGUACUGAGGACCUACAGAGGAUGUACUCACUAUUUUCAAGGGUCAAUGCUCUCGAAUCAUUAAGGCAGGCCCUUGCUAUGUACAUUCGUAGAACUGGGCAUGGCAUUGUCAUGGAUGAAGAGAAAGAUAAAGAUAUGGUUUCGUCUCUUUUGGAGUUCAAGGCUUCUCUUGAUACAAUAUGGGAACAAAGCUUCUCAAAGAAUGAAGCAUUUUGCAACACAAUAAAGGACGCAUUUGAGUAUCUAAUUAAUCUUCGUCAGGUCAGCAUAUCCCACUUUCUUUUUCCUUCCACCAUUUCAACGUUACGAUUGGACAUUAAAAAAUAAACUAUUCCAUUUGUAUUUAUUUGUUAGUUAAAUGCCGGAUUUGAAUUGUAGGAUAACAAAAUUUCAUCAUGAAGAAAGUAUGAGAGUAGCAUUUAAAGAGGAUAGGUCAUAAUAGUGAUUGUUAUGGUUGCUUUUGUUAUUACAUAUAUGACUAAAUGUAACCAAAACUGGCUCCAGAUUUCAGAUCAUAUGACAAGAUGUUAAAAGCUUGCACCAGAUAUCAGUCAGGACCUUAUUUUGUAUCAGUCUGCCAUUACCACUAAUUUUUUUGAAGAUUAUAUAUAGAAAUUUGUGGCUAAUAGUUACAUGUUUCCCCUGUUUACAGAACCGACCUGCUGAGCUGAUUGCAAAGUUUCUGGAUGAGAAGCUUCGGGCUGGAAAUAAGGGUACUUCAGAAGAGGAAUUGGAGGGUACACUUGAUAAAGUUCUGGUUUUAUUCAGGUUUAUUCAGGUAACUAUACAUCCUUGACAGAAAUUUCAGUUUUUUUUUAAAUAUUUAUUCUCUAGUCUUCUAUGAUUUAUUAUUAUUAUUGUUGUUGUUGUUGUUUUGCAAAUUUAGGGUAAAGAUGUGUUUGAAGCAUUCUAUAAAAAGGAUCUUGCAAAAAGGUUACUGUUGGGGAAGAGUGCUUCCAUUGAUGCAGAGAAAUCUAUGAUUUCCAAGGUUAGUGGCAAGAAGUCUUAUUUUGACUUCACGUUGCUGCCAAAUGUUUAUGAUGUUGUCAUACUAACAAAUGUCUAGUUCUAAUGCAGCUAAAGACUGAAUGUGGCAGCCAAUUUACAAACAAACUUGAAGGGAUGUUCAAGGUGUGCAUGUUUUUCCAUAUAAAUUCUGUUUAGGGAAAUGCAUUGAUUUCUGAGGAAAUUAAAACUUUAGAACUAAAAUUGAGUGAUCACCUAGUUGAUUGCUUAUCUAUUAUCAAUAGGGAUAUUAUCAUUUUACCACCUAAUAUUUUCUGACAUAUCACUUUCCCACUAAAGUUUUUUGGCAAUUCCUUUUUCCCACUUAAUGUUUCAAUUUUUAUCAUUUUACCACCAAACCGUUAGUUAAUGUGAUUUUAAACAGAAAUUAUAGUAAAAGUCUAUUUUACUCCUAAACUGUGUAAGUGUAAUUUAACCCUUUAAAUUAAAAAAAAUAUAGAAUUAAUUAUAUACAAAGAAAUAAUACUUUUAUGUCUAAAAUAAUUAAUUGAUAAAAUUGUAAAUAUUACACCUGGUGAAAUUUAUAAAAUACUAAAUAUACAGAAAUUCCUGAAAUACCCUUGCGACAUCAGCAAUUUAUUUAUUAAUGGAGUUAAACUGUUUGAUGAUAAAUUGAAAAAAAACUGAAACAUAAAGUGGGAAAAAGCAAUUGUCAGAAAACUUUUGUGGUAAAGUAAUACGUCAGAAAACAUUAGGUGGUAAAAUGAUAAUAUUCCUUAUCAAUAAAAAAAAAACUGUAAUGAAAUGAGUAAAACAUUAGCUUUUCCUGGCAAAUUAUGAUGCAAAUUUGAUAUGCCCCUCGAACUUCUUUAACCAGUUUUUAUUUUGAAGCGUCUUUCAGUUUCUGCAUGUCUGGUUUUCUUGGAAGUGCUAGAUAUGCUUAUAUUCAUGUGAAGGUCAAAUUUUAGUAGCAUUGCUGUGCACUUGGAGUAGUGGCCUCAAUUUGCUGAGGGAAGCUUUAUUAAAAUAAAUUUUAAAAAAAUCCACGAGAAGGGGAGACAAAACAGCUGAACGCAUCAAAAUAAAAAUCGGAAAACAAAAAAAUAAGCAUAUAAUGUGAUACAAGAAGGUAAUGAAGACCAAUGUCUAAAAAAAUUUGUUAAUUAGACACACACACAUACUACAUGAACUUGAAUCCAAGACCUAGGUCUUGGUAAGGCCAUUCUUACCUCAUAAUUGUUGUCACGUGAAGUGUUAAUUAUCAAACCUUGUGGUCUCCAAUCUAUGAAUUUUAAAAAUUACACGAUCAAGUGUUUACUUGAUUUUCUUAGACAGGCUGUUGAAAUAUAGCUCAAUAGUUGGAGAGCAUCAUUAGAAACCAAUAAUAACCUCUUUAUUCUUGCCAGUUUAACACUUGAUCUGUUGAUGUAGCAUUUGUUUUGUGAAUUCAGUUAACCUUUUCUGUUGACUUUUUCAUUCAUCUCAGCAGCAGUUUCUACUUUUUUUUUUUUUUUUUAACCCCCCACACAUUCUCAGGAUAUUGAAUUAUCAAAGGAGAUAAAUGAGUCCUUCAAACAGUCAUCCCAGGCCAGGACAAAACUCCCAUCAGGGAUUGAGAUGAGUGUCCAUGUCUUGACAACAGGGUAGGUUGAGAUCCUAAAUUACCAUAUAUUUCAGAAUUUUGUUAUAAUAUUCCAAUCAAUAUUACUGAGGAUUUAAAAUGUUUUUUCCAUUUGGUGGCUGGCAUAUAGGUACUGGCCCACAUAUCCCCCCAUGGAUGUUAGGCUUCCUCAUGAACUGAAUGUCUAUCAGGUUUGGCAUAAGCUGAAGAUGGCUGUUUUCUAUUACGGGUUCUGAGAGUAUAGUGUAUAUGUUUGUGUGACCCUUCUCUUUACUUUUGCUGCAGGACAUUUUUAAGGAGUUCUAUUUAAGCAAGUACAGUGGAAGGCGCUUAAUGUGGCAAAAUUCAUUAGGUCACUGUGUGUUGAAAGCUGAGUUUCCUAAAGGUAAAAAGGAGCUGGCAGUUUCCCUAUUUCAGGUUGGUAUCUUAUAUUGUGCAUUACCUUCAUUGUUGUGCUGUCUGUUCCUUUUUUUUUAAUAGAUGUUACCUUAAAGUUCUAAUAAUACUGUGCUCACAUUUUUAUCGGCCCUCCAGACAGUUGUUUUGAUGUUAUUUAACGAUGCUCAAAAGCUUAGUUUUCAAGAUAUUAAGGAUGCCACUGGCAUAGAAGAUAAGGAACUGAGGAGGACUCUACAGUCUCUUGCUUGCGGUAAAGUACGCGUCCUGCAAAAGGUAGGUGCUUAUUGCUGGAGUGGCAGCUUGGUUUCUUGGUUUGAUAAAGUUUUGUAUACUUUUGGGUCUUCAUUUUUUUCCCUUUGUGAUAACUUUUUUUUUUUAAAAAAAAAAAAUUCUACAGUUGCCAAAGGGAAGGGAUGUGGAGGAUGAUGAUUCAUUUGUGUUCAAUGAAGGAUUUACUGCUCCCCUUUAUCGUAUUAAGGUAUGGGCUUCUGUUAUGCAGCAAUAUUGUGACACACUUUCUACACUAGACUGUUUGAUUUGCCACCUAGAUGUAACUUAACCGUUGUGUUUCUUUGGUAUGCAGGUAAAUGCUAUACAGAUGAAGGAAACAGUGGAAGAAAACACUAGCACCACUGAAAGAGUAUUUCAGGACCGUCAAUAUCAGGUUUGCCUCCGCAGAUUAUGUUAUUCAUUUUGACAAAACAUAAGUAUCCCAUAUGGUUAAUGUGGCUGUGAGUUCCAAGCAGACAUGAAUUAUUUCUUUGUUGUUGAAUGUGUUUCAGGUGGAUGCUGCCAUUGUUCGGAUAAUGAAGACUAGAAAAGUGUUGAGUCACACACUUCUAAUAACCGAACUCUUCCAACAGGUACUACCACCCGUGCUCCAAUUUGAGCUUUUUAUUUACCUUAAGCAUAAUAAGAUCUCUCAUAUCCAGUCACAGUCAUAUUGGACCAUGCCACAAAUAACAAAUAUAACGUGGUAAUUGUUUCAUUGGAUAGCUGAAAUUUCCUAUAAAGCCGGCCGAUCUGAAGAAAAGGAUUGAGAGCCUUAUCGAUAGGGAGUACCUGGAGCGUGACAAGAACAAUCCGCAGAUAUAUAAUUACCUGGCCUAGUCCCCCAUUUUGUCACACACACAAAUGUGAUGUUUUUCUUUGCAUGGCGGCGUAAUCAAAUGUUAUCUCUCCCCUGUACAGAAAGUUGUAGUUCCUUUUUUUUUUCUUCUUCUUUGUUUUUUCGUUUUUUAACCCAACAUUUGUAAUUGUAAAGUAUAAUCGGCCUUUCUUUUGAGACCUUUCAUCUCAUUCUGGACUUGUGAGCUUCUUGAAAUAAAUUACUUAUUUUUUUCUUUCUUUUAAUCAUAUGAGAAGCUGCACCUUGCUGGUUGCUGCAGUUUACAUGAGGUUUAUUUAUUAAUUAUUAUUAUUUUUUUUUAAGGUAGUAAUGUUGGUAUGUAAAGUAUGCUAGUAUUAGUAAUAUAUUUGAUAAUAUGGUAAAAUAUAGCAACAGCAGAAAAUAUAUGAUUCUCCACGAAAUUCCAUGUCAUUCGAUGAUGAUAAAUUCUUAUUUCCCUCCAUACGAAAUCCGAUGGUAUAUAAAUAAUACAACUCAAUUACAUAGCACAGCAAACUGAGAAGCCAUCAUCACAGGCAGAUACAAAAUAUAAAAGUUCCCAAAGAAAGCAGGAAAAAAAAUAAAAAUAAAAAUAAAAAAUAAAGUGAAAUGGGCAAAUUUGGCAGUUGAAGUGAAAUCAAAGGGGAUGAUUGAUAAUCAGACGGCGGGAUCAGAGGGAGAUGGAGAUGGAGCAGCAGCGGGAUGAUGAGGGUAAAGAGGAGCGCGAAUAUUGGUAUCGGCAUCGGCAUCGGGAUCGUAAUCGGGAUUGAGGGAUCGGUCAAUAGCUUCACGGCCUUUUUCGAGACAAGGCUUGCACGCCAUCUCAAUUGCAAUCCAACCCAGCACCACUCCCGCUAUCGCUAUUAUCGCUACUGUUAUUGCAGCCAUCUCUCCUCUUCUCCUCGCUGCCGGUGAUUCUAUUAUUUUAUUUAUUUAUAAAUAUUUCUGUUACUGACUACCGACGAGGAGAAGCUGGAGAGGAGAGAGGAUGUGGAUAUGUUCUGUCCUCAUCACAAACUCACUCACCAGGUUUUAUUUUGAACUUGGGCCUCGCCUUUUUGGCACUAGCGAGCUAAAUUGAAUCCUGAGAGUAGUGUGCUAUUGGCACCCGUCCAUUAUCUCACAACACCCCCCCACCCUUUUUUUUGUAUUUUUUUUUCACUCAUUCAAGCAUUUAUGGGUUAAAAUUUAAACAUAAAAACUUAGAAGCAAGUAAUCCAACACUAAAAAGAUAGAUGCCAUUGCUUUACUUAUAAGCUCCUUCGCCGAAUUGCAAUUUUGCCUUAAAAAAAGAAAAUCAGUGAUGAACAGACCGACGGCGAGCAUGAAGGUGGAUAGGAUCGGGUACGACACAUCCGGCACUAGACUUGUAAUUGCCAUCUCAGAUGUUGGUUAGCGAAAUAAGUCCCCAAUUUCGACUUUCUCUACUUUGCUUCUGACUUGAAUUUUUGUUCAGUUAAUACUUUUAAACUAAAAUAUAAGUAUGUGAACUUAAAUCGACGAUUCGUUUUAUAAAGUUUCAUGACAUUUUCGAGAAAGCAUUUUCAGAAUUCUUUAAAAAAAAAUAUUUUCAGAUUCAUUUCAAAAAACAUUUCUCAAGACAAUGUUCAAACACAUUCCCAUAUUUAUUUAAAAAAUAUUUUAUUUUGUCACAUUUUUCUUAAUUCCACUUUCUAAAGCUAUAAAAUCCUAGAACAUUAAAUAUUAAAUUACUAGUUCUUCAUUAUUCACUAGUGUACGAUGCUCUCACAUCAACUAUUCACAACUGGUGUCAUUAUUGUUUAAACUCAAAUCUACUACUCAACGAAACAACAAUCAUAGUCAAAGUGCAAUCGAAGCUUUUUUAGACCAUACUGACGCCUGCAUACGCUUUUGGACCUUACCCUUCAAACCAAACAACGAAAUCAAUUAAACUCAUACCACUAAGUCCGAAUUUCUAAUCAAUUAAAUUCAUACCAACACUCCAACCUCACUUUAAUCGAGAAAGAACCUAUCCUUGUGACACAUGGCCUAGUGAAAUUCCUACCCCAAACACUCUUAUUAUUCAACGGUUAAAUUGAAAUGUUUAUGCCUAAAAGCAAGCUGCUUGUAAAAAGAAUCACUUGCAUGUUGAAGGAGAUCAUACCAUAGAUCAAUUGUACUGUGUAUUUGAUAACGAGUAAUGACAAUCAAAUCUUUUAAGCAUGUCAUGAUUAGAUUAGAACCUAACAUAAAAUAGAUUCCAUCUCAACAAGCACACCAACCAACCCCGCCCACCCACUGCAAACAACAGCUACUAAGUCUUGUCCCCUAAAGGCUAAAACAAUUUGCUUAACUAUACCAACUGAUCUAACUUUCACCGAUCAGUCUCUUUCUAAUUCUGCAGCUGCAACUAGUUUUGUUGUUAUCCCAGCAAUUUCUGUAACUUCAAAUUCAAUGCAUGCAUGCGUUUCCUCUAUCUCUGUCAAUGAAUGUUUAUCAAAAACACUCAACAGAGACCAACAAAUUUUUUUUUUUUCUUUUAAACUCCAUCAUUCCCAGCAGAUACAACUCCUAAAAACAUUUCCAACUACUUCACAGGAUUAGCAAAAUAUUAUCAUCAGUGUUGUGUAGUGCUUGCUUGCCAUUGACGACCGUAAUACACUAAAAAUUCUAAGAUAUUAGACUAUUUAAAUAAGAGAUAUGAUUGUUAAAACACUUCCAUUGCCAAUUCCUAUAAGGAGGGAAAAUGAAAAAAAAAGGGGAAAAGAAGAAAAGCUGAGCAGCUGUGUAGACAAUACAUUCAUUCUAAUAACACAGAGCUAAUAAAUUUAUUUGAUUACAACUUAUUCAACAACACAGAAAACAUGAGAUCAGAUUAUUUGGAGAACUAAGCAAACAGAACCUGAGAGCUUGAGGGUGUCAAGUCAGAAAAAUUAUCUGGAGCAUCAACAACUUGCCAUUGUACACUGAAGCUCCACUUUUUCUCAGAGGUGCUCAGCCUUGUGAUAUGACCCACAGCAACAUGCAGAUUCCGACCCACAACAUAGACUCUGCAAUCACAUGCAUUUACGGCAAAGGGUUUGCAUAUCUGCUCUGGUAGCGGAGGCCCCUCUAUUGUCUCCCACGAAUCAGUGCUUGGGUCAUAAACUUUGAGCUUCAUUCUUUCAAGCUCUGAAACCACAAACAAAUGCUCAUAAACCACAACACUUGAACCAGUCCACCCUUCUCUCAGUCCAACAGCCAUGCUUUCCCAAUUAUCAGUACUCGGAUCAUAGACCUGACCUCUCGGAGAGACAAAAAAUGGCCACAACCAGCCUUCCGUCACAAGAAGUUUGCCAUCUAGAACUGCAGCAUCAUAAGAUGCCAUGUUUGUUCCCAUGCUUGCAAUGGUGCGCCAAUUUCCCUUUACAGGAUCCAAAACCUCAGCUGAGUCAAGCUCGAAAAGGUCUGCACUGCUUCCUCCGGCCACAUAUAUCAUCCCCCCAAUCACCCCACUAGCAAAAAAUGAUCUGGCUGUAAUCAUCUUGUUCAUGACUGUCCAACGGUUUUUUUGCAUUUCAUACUUCAAGACCAAGUCAAGAGGACAAUCAACAUCAGAGACCAUACCUCCACACACAAACAAAGUACCCUCACGAGGGAUUGAAACACACCUAAAUCCAUGUGGACAAACCUUAUCCUUGCACGGCAUUGCCGGGAUAGUGUGCCAACAAUAGUGGGUAAGGUCUAGAACCUGCCACUGAAUUUUUCCAGUACACUUGUGAAAGGCAAAAACAAAGAGCCAAGGGUCCUUGAAACCCAGUUCCUUUCUUCGGGUAAAAAAACGCUCUUUAUUACCAAGAAGCAGGUGCCAUCUCUUGCAAACAGCUCUGCAGGCUGCAUGGCUCUCAACUGGAAGCCGGAGGAGACAAUUGAGUGCAACAUCAUCAGGAAGGCCCGGAAUGAAUGGUUCUGCUCUGAGAGAUGCUUCUAAUUCAGGUGAAGGAUUUAACAAGGAAGAUUGUAUCACAGCUAACCUAAACUUUGGGGAUAACGUCAUCUGGGAAUCCCCUAGCUUAUGUACAGGCGCUUGUUGUGAUGAUAAUCGAACCCUUUGCAUUUUAAUUGUCUUAAGACUCAAUAUUUUAAGAACCUAUAAUAUCACGAAGGACUUGUUCCACACUCAGAUUUCCUAUUUAUAUUAUGCCUCCAAAUGCAAAUAUUCAAUGAAAAAAAACAACAAUAAAUAUGCUCUAAUUCCAAACGGCAACAGAAAGAGCUAAUCCAGAAUCUCAAUUACCUACGUUUUUUUUUUCCUCCACUCUUACUGCAAAAACAACAAUUCCCUUUCCACCAAUCCUCAUAUGAGAUGAACAUGAAACAAAAAGUACAAACUUACCAAUACUAAAAUAUCCAAAUUCGAAUUCGUAUGUACCAAAAACAAUCAAAAUAUCAACUUGCAAGAAGAACCCAGAUUAUAACUUUUCACACACAAAAGAAAAUAAAAAGAAGAAGAUAUCUAAGCUAUUACGAGGUAAAAGAAAGAAACCCACAAGAACGCAGCUCAUUAAAUUUAAAAAAAAUUGAUUAAACUAUUGCCUAAAAGAAUGGGAAUUCGAAACCCAGUAAAGUUCUCGAAUAACACAACUUGGAAACUAAACAAAAAACAGCAAAAAUUAAUGACAAAAAUUGAAAUAAAAGAAACUUACAGGCAGGUAACUGUGAAAUAAAAUUGGUGAUAUUCGGUUUUGAUUUGUUGCUAAUAGAGGUGACCCAAAGACUCUUUCUUCUUGUUUAAGGAUGUUCAUUCAUUUAAUGAAUUCAGUGGCAAUGGUUUCUUGAUUCUGUAGACAAUAACUCACACGUCGCACGCGUCCACAGACCUUAUAGGUGACGUGGCAAGUGGAAAAGGCUUGUUUCAGUUGUCGUUUUAUGGAGAGUGAAGUACAAUCGCUGUUAGUGAAUGUGUGGAUGAUCCUGUGUAUCUUUUUUGCCACGUGUACGAUUGUGAAGGCUCAAACCAAAAGUGCCAAACGGCGUUGCGUAAGCUGAUUUUGCAUAAUUAAGAUUAAGUGGAUAAUUAGGGAAAAAGAUAAAAUUAUUGAGAAUAAAUUAGAGAUGGCAAUCAAUUUAUGACUCGUGAGUCAUGACAGAGUAUCCAUGAAAGCAGCCAUCCCAAGCCAGACCAGCUGUUUAUUUACACGGAAAAUUAAAAAUUCUUCCCUGAACUAUAGAUUAGAAAUACUUACAGCCAACCUCAAAUAUAUUAUGACAUUUGCACCCUUAAAUUCCAAAAUAUCGCACUUAACCCCCUUAUACUAAUAAAAAUUAAUAUAUUUUAUUAAGUUAUAAUAAAAUGUUCAUAUUACCUCUUUACGAAACGUAAACAUUUAUGAACAUGAAAUAUUAUGUAUAUAUUAUGUCAAUAUUAUUCUUAAUGAGUUGAGUUACUUAUCUAAUUUAUGUUUUUUUUUUCAUAUUUUCUUGGUAUAAAAACUGAAAAAUGUAAACAUAUGGGCAAUAAGGUAUAUGAAGAUUUGUCAAAAUUGAUUUUAUGUGUUAUCAAUAAGAGAAUACAAUGCCUUACGUAAGAAAUAAAAUUAAGAUAUAUAAUCCAUGAUAUGGUGAAAAUGAAAUAAAAUGAUGGUUAUCUUGUUAUGAAAUAAAACUUAAUAAGAAAAUUCAAUAUACAAAUAGCUUAUGUUUAUGCCAAAUUUCUAAAUAAAAAAUAUAAAUCAAUUAAAUAACUAAACUAUCAAUGACAAUAUUGUUAUAUCACACACAAAGAAUAUUUUAUUUUUAUGGAUGUUUGUGGUUUGUAAAAUGACUUAAAUUGUUUAGGGGCAAUACGGACUUUCAAUUAUAAUUUAACAAGAUAUAUCAAUUGUUGUUAGUAUAAGGGGUUAAGAAUAACAUCUCCAAAUUUGAAGGGACAGUGUCAUAGUCCAUUUGAGUUUGAGUGUAAGUGUUUCGCACAUAUAUUUGAGAGAGAAUCUGUAAUUUUUCCUUUAUAAAAAUGAAACUUCUCAGGCGUGAGGAUAUUUGAAUUCAUUAAUUUUCUUUCUACACUUCUUUUUAAUUCAGAAUAAUUUUAUUAUCAAAAUAUUUUUUAGUAACACGUCUAGAGCCUUAUAAUUCUUCAUCUCAAGUUUUCAACACAUUAUCCUCUCACCUCGCAUGCCAUGAUGAUACUACUGGUUACUUGUUCUUUUAAGAGAAAUAGAGAGCAUUCACUUAUAUACCACUAAUUAUAUUGUCAAUUUAUUUGCAAAAAAAUGGUACAAAUCUACAGAUGUAGAGAUAGAUCUAAAUCUGCUGGGACCUCCUGUUCAGCAAGGCAGGACCUGGCUUCUCCAUAGUCUUAACAAGAGAUGAUUCCUUGAUUUGAGGCUUCUGUAUUUCCACAGGCCAUCUGGAGACAAUCUUUGCCCUUUUUGAUCUUUUCAUCACAUCAAUGUUUGCAAGGGAAUCAAUUGGGUAAAUCCUCUCGCCCUGUCCAAAAUUCAAGAAACCUACCAUCUUGGACACAACCUUCAGCCAGGCCUGAACACCGAUAAAGAUUGAUGAAACAGGAACCAAAAAGUGUCAGUUUCAAACCAGGAGAUUGAUUUAAACCAAGCAACCACUGUGAAUAGUUAUAGCAGAGCUAGUAAAUGAAUGCUUACUAAGGUUGGGUUGAGAGUUCUGCAAGACACCUCUAUAGAAGAACGACUUACCAUCUUGGCAAGUUUGGAUCUUAUCAUUACGCAAUUUCUGGACUCCAUUCAAGCCUAAAGACAAUGAAACAUCCAAAGGGAAACCAGCGGACGGAGUGCUACCAGAUCCAGCAAAAGCUGUUGACAAAUAGCAAUUUGAAAGGUUGAGUUCAUUACUGCGAAUGUCGUAGGAAGAUUUUGAGACAUUUUGAGCAUUGCUGAUUUUACAACUAUAUUCAGAGAACUUACUUGCAUUCAUCGAGAAAGUUAAAUUUGAGCUGGACCUCUUAUGGAAAGCUAGAUUGUUCCCAACAACUUCACAAGAAUUGCCAGGUUGGUUGCUGGACAGGGGAUCAACGAUGGUGCUAGCAGAGCCAAUGGAAGCACAAGAAUUACUAGGGCAAUUCCUCCUCCAAGCUGCCUUCAACUGGACAUUAUGAGACCUAAGAUGACCUCUAAGAGAGCGAUGGUUAGCAAAUGAUUUUCUGCAAUAGAUGCAAGAAAAAGCACUAGUGCCCUUUUCUAGGUUUUCUCCGUCAGCAGCUGAAGGGAGGUUCGCCAUUGAAGUUGUAAACAAGACCCAAAAUAGGGUCAACAAGAAGAGAAGAGAAAGAGGAAAUGCAAGGGAAACCAUGCGGUGACGAAGAAUGCCAACUUUUUUCCCCGUUUUACAUUUUAGGAGAGAGAAAUGGGUCUUAUCGGUUAGACUAAUUAAUGUAAAAUGACAAUCCUAAUUAAAAUCAUUUAAGAAGAGGAAAGACAUAUACUAAAUAUGGAAAGACAUUGUUAGCAUUGAAUUAUAUGCAAUGGCAGCUAAACCUGGCCUUAUCCUUAAAGCACCAGCACC
rnacentral:lncRNA from 1 species